CAGCAGCCGCGGUAAUACGGAGGGUGCGAGCGUUAAUCGGAAUAACUGGGCGUAAAGGGCACGCAGGCGGUGACUUAAGUGAGGUGUGAAAGCCCCGGGCUUAACCUGGGAAUUGCACUUCAUACUGGGUCGCUAGAGUACUUUAGGGAGGGGUAGAAUUCCACGUGUAGCGGUGAAAUGCGUAGAGAUGUGGAGGAAUACCGAAGGCGAAGGCAGCCCCUUGGGAAUGUACUGACGCUCAUGUGCGAAAGCGUGGGGAGCAAACAGGAUUAGAUACCCGGGUAGUCCCUGUCUCUUAUAC
rnacentral:rRNA from 1 species